rnacentral:tRNA from 1 species
GCGAUCAUGGUGUAUCGGUAGCAUUGAAGCCUGUGGCGCUUUAGGGUCGGGUUCAACUCCCGAUGAUCGCC